rnacentral:rRNA from 1 species
GACAGAGGGUGCAAACGUUGUUCGGAAUUACUGGGCGUAAAGCGUGUGUAGGCGGCCGCGCAAGUCGGAUGUGAAAGCCCCGGGCUCAACCCGGGAAGUGCACCCGAAACUGCGUGGCUUGAGUACCGGAGAGGUUGGUGGAAUUCUCGGUGUAGAGGUGAAAUUCGUAGAUAUCGAGAGGAACACCGGUGGCGAAGGCGGCCAACUGGACGAGUACUGACGCUGAGACACGAAAGCGUGGGGAGCAAACAGG